GGGCCUGUAGCUCAGUCGGUUAGAGCGCUCGACUCAUAAUCGAAUGGUCGUAGGUUCAAGUCCUACCAGGCCCA
rnacentral:tRNA from 1 species